GUGCGUUCCACAUGCAGGAAGUGAGUUUUCAUCGACUGCUGCAGCCUCCCAGUGUCCGUGGAAAUCAGGCUCUUCCACAGAUACUGUGACAGUUCCACUGGAGGGGGAGUAUAUAGAGGAACACAGGGGUCUGUACAAGGACGUGAUGAUGGAGAAUCACCGGCCCCUCACAUCACUGGGUAAGAGGAGACUGUCAUGUAUUGUACAGGGG